rnacentral:rRNA from 1 species
AACGAACGCUGGCGGCAUGCCUAACACAUGCAAGUCGAACGAGACCUUCGGGUCUAGUGGCGCACGGGUGCGUAACGCGUGGGAACCUGCCCUUAGGUUCGGAAUAACUCCCCGAAAGGGGUGCUAAUACCGGAUAAUGUCUUCGGACCAAAGAUUUAUCGCCUUUGGAUGGGCCCGCGUUGGAUUAGCUAGUUGGUAGUGUAAAAGCCUACCAAGGCGACGAUCCAUAGCUGGUCGGAGAGGAUGAUCAGCCACACUGGGACUGAGACACGGCCCAGACUCCUACGGGAGGCAGCAGUGGGGAAUAUUGGACAAUGGGCGAAAGCCUGAUCCAGCAAUGCCGCGUGAGUGAUGAAGGCCUUAGGGAUGUAAAGCUCUUUUACCCGAGAUGAUAAUGACAGUACCGGGAGAAUAAGCACCGGCUAACUCCGUG